GGCAUAGCUCAGUGGUAGAGUGCACGCUUAGUGUGUGCAACCCUGGGUUCAAUCCCCAGCACCA
rnacentral:tRNA from 1 species